UACGUAGGGUGCAAGCGUUAUCCGGAAUUAUUGGGCGUAAAGAGCUCGUAGGCGGUUUGUCGCGUCUGCUGUGAAAACUGGGGGCUCAACCCCCAGCCUGCAGUGGGUACGGGCAGACUAGAGUGCGGUAGGGGAGAUUGGAAUUCCUGGUGUAGCGGUGGAAUGCGCAGAUAUCAGGAGGAACACCAAUGGCGAAGGCGGCGCUCUGGGCUGGCACUGACGCUGAGGAGCGAAAGCGUGGGGAGCGAACAGG
rnacentral:rRNA from 1 species